GGGGGUUAUAGCUCAGCGGUAGAGCAUUUUGACUGCAGAUCAAGAGGUCUCCGGUUCAAGUCCGGAUGCCCCCU